rnacentral:rRNA from 1 species
GAUGAACGCUGACAGACUGCUUCAACACAUGCAAAUCAACUUGAAUUUGGGUUUUUAACUUAGGUUUGGGUGGCGGGCGGGUGAGUAACGCGUAAAGAACUUGCCUCACAGCUAGGGACAACAUUUGGAAACGAAUGCUAAUACCUAAUAUUAUGAUAAUAGGGCAUCCUAUAAUUAUGAAAGCUAUAAGCGCUGUGAGAGAGCUUUGCGUCCCAUUAGCUAGUUGGAGAGGUAACUGCUCACCAAGGCGAUGAUGGGUAGCCGGCCUGAGAGGGUGAUCGGCCACAAGGGGACUGAGACACGGCCCUUACUCCUACGGGAGGCAGCAGUGGGGAAUAUUGGACAAUGGACCAAGAGUCUGAUCCAGCAAUUCUGUGUGCACGAUGAAGUUUUUCGGAAUGUAAAGUGCUUUCAGUUGGGAAGAAAGAAAUGACGGUACCAACAGAAGAAGUGACGGCUAAAUACGUGCCAGCAGCCGCGGUAAUACGUAUGUCACGAGCGUUAUCCGGAUUUAUUGGGCGUAAAGCGCGUCUAGGUGGUUAUAUAAGUCUGAUGUGAAAAUGCAGGGCUCAACUCUGUAUUGCGUUGGAAACUGUAUAACUAGAGUACUGGAGAGGUAAGCGGAACUACAAGUGUAGAGGUGAAAUUCGUAGAUAUUUGUAGGAAUGCCGAUGGGGAAGCCAGCUUACUGGACAGAUACUGACGCUGAAGCGCGAAAGCGUGGGUAGCAAACAGG